rnacentral:tmRNA from 1 species
GGGGCCGACCUGGUUUCGACGUGGGUGCGGAUGCGGGAUAGGGCAUGUCGAGGGCCAGGCACCUCGUAAAUCCAUCUGGAACAAACUAACUGCAAACGACGAAUCGUUCGCACUCGCCGCUUAAUACCGGUGAGCCUCGCAACAGUUGGCCGAUGGGCUGGGCUGUAGUCGCAAGACGAUAGCUGCGAGGUUAUUUACAUUGGCUGGACUUGAACCGGGCCACGCGGUACUUGUCGAGAUUUUGUGGCUGGUGUCUCCUUUAGUGUGCUGCUGCACGACUGGGGGCACGAGAAUCAAAUCAGACAGCUAAACAUGUAGAUCUACUCGUUGAUGGCUUACGGACGGGGGUUCAAUUCCCCCCGGCUCCACCA